rnacentral:rRNA from 1 species
AACGAACGCUGGCGGCGUGCCUAACACAUGCAAGUCGAACGAGAAAGGGGCUUCGGCUCCGAGUAAAGUGGCGCACGGGUGAGUAACACGUGGGUAACCUGCCUCUAAGAUUGGGAUAACUCGUCGAAAGAUGAGCUAAUACCGAAUAAGACCACAGUUCCCGCGGGAACAGGGGUCAAAGGUAGCCUCUGCUUGCAAGCUAUCACUUAGAGAUGGGCCUGCGCACCAUUAGCUAGUUGGUAGGGUAACGGCCUACCAAGGCAAAGAUGGUUAGCUGGUCUGAGAGGAUGAUCAGCCACACUGGAACUGAGAAACGGUCCAGACUCCUACGGGAGGCAGCAGUGGGGAAUAUUGCGCAAUGGGCGAAAGCUUGACGCAGCAACGCCGCGUGAGUGAUGAAGGCCUUCGGGUCGUAAAGCUCUGUCGGGAGGAACGAAUGCUCCUGAGGUUAACAGCCUCGGGAGGUGACGGUACCUUCAAAGGAAGCACCGGCUAACUCUGUGCCAGCCGCCGCAGUAACAC